CCUACGGGAGGCAGCAGUGAGGAAUAUUGGUCAAUGGGCGCUAGCCUGAACCAGCCACGUAGCGUGAAGGAUGACUGCCCUAUGGUUUGUAAACUUCUUUUAUAGGGGAAUAAAGUGCAGGAUAUAUACUGCUUUGCAUGUACCUUAUGAAUAAGGAUCGGCUAACUCCGUGCCAGCAGCCGCGGUAAUACGGAGGAUCCGAGCGUUAUCCGGAUUUAUUGGGUUUAAAGGGAGCGUAGCCUGGUUGUCAAGUCAGUUGUGAAAGUUUGCGGCUCAACCGUAGAAUUGCAGUUGAUACUGGCGUCCUUGAGUACAGUAGAGGUAGGCGGAAUUCGUGGUGUAGCGGUGAAAUGCUUAGAUAUUAGGAAGAACUCCGAUUGCGAAGGCAGCCUGCUGGACUGUAACUGACGCUGAUGCUCGAAAGUGUGGGUAUCAAACAGGAUUAGAUACCCUUGUAGUC
rnacentral:rRNA from 1 species